AUUUUACUGUGAAUCUUGAGCAGGUUUGCAGAGUUACUAUUUCUUCUCAUUCAAGAAUGAACAGUAAACAAGAGUACUUAGGAAGCUACAAAGUCAACAAAGUCUGAUUAUAGCUCAUCUAAGCAAGUGAAAAAACAAGUAAUGGUACUCUGCAAUCAGCUUUAACUCAUUAUUCUGCAACCAUCCCAGCUUACUGAAACUACAACAUAAACUCAGCUCAUUCAUCAAGUUUUAACGCUUCUGAAGUACAUAGCAGACCCAGACUUCAAUAGCAUCUAAACAAAAAAGGAAUGUUGUCCACCAGAAAAUAGCCCAAGUUGGUGAGGCUCAACUCUAUCAUAUAGAACCAUGCUCUACGCCAAUAUGGAUUUACGUACAAAACAGCAGCUAUGGUCAACAAAACUAUGGCAUAAGAAGUCAGAAAACUCACAUAGAAAGCUUCCAUGUCCAUAAAGCCACCAUCUUUUUUAUGAUCUUUUUUAUCCUCCUCUGAAACUCUUGGCAUUAAUGUUGAAGAAAAGCAACUUUUAGACAGUGGAGGUCCACAAAGGAAAGGGUUUCCCUCAUAGCUACUAUUCUCGAAGGUCGCAAAUUGUGCAACCAUCUCAGGUGUCUUGCCAGAUAAGUUGUUGUGUGCUACACUGAAAACAGCUAGAAAAUUUAGUUGAGUGAGCUGAGGGAUGCUGCCAUUCAAGUUGUUGUAGGAAAGAUCCAAGCUCUCAAUUUGCGUUAGGUUUGAAAAUGAUUGUGGAAUCAAUCCCGUCAACUUGUUAUGGGACAGGUUUAACAGCUGGAUUUUGUCAAGAUUUCCUAUUUCAACAGGAAUUUCACCUGUCAAAUUGUUGCAGGACAGAUCGAGCCCUGAUAUGUACUUGAGAAUGCUUCCUUGGAAGUAAUACGAUAUACUCUUUGUUGUAAACUCCAAAGGUUGUUUCAUGUAAGUUCCUGGAUAUCCAUAUGAAGCAACUUUUGUUUGCCAAUUGCUAGCGGCACUUAUGCAAGGGAGGAUAUGACCAGAAAGAUUAUUAUUAGAGAGAUCAACCAAGCUUAAUUGGCGUAAGUUGCACAACUGAAUUGGUAUUUCACCUUCAAGAUUAUUAUGACUGAAAAGAAGAUAGUUCAGUUUGGGAAAAUUGCCAAUCCAUUCUGGAACCCUUCCAGUGAAAGAGUUGUGACUAAGAUCCAAUAUUGUUAAUUCAAAACAAUUGUAAAAUGCAUUCAUAAGCGGUCCUUGUAGCCUAUUUUUUGAUAGAUAAACUUCACUAAUAAAUGGAGGGCCAAAGCUAGAUGGUAUAUUUCCAAAGAAAUUGUUCUCUGAC
rnacentral:misc_RNA from 1 species